GCUGGGAUAGCUCAAUUGGUAGGGCAUGAGAUUCAGUUUCAACGUUGUGGGUUUGAGCCCCACGUUGGACA